rnacentral:rRNA from 1 species
ACACUCGACACCUACGGGAGGCAGCAGUGGGGAAUAUUGCACAAUGGGGGAAACCCUGAUGCAGCGACGCCGCGUGAAGGAAGAAGUAUCUCGGUAUGUAAACUUCUAUCAGCAGGGAAGAAAAUGACGGUACCUGACUAAGAAGCCCCGGCUAACUACGUGUCAGCAGCGCGGUAAUCUGAGCGGGCUGGCAAGGC